rnacentral:rRNA from 1 species
GAUGAACGCUGGCGGCGUGCCUAAUACAUGCAAGUCGAGCGAACAGACGAGGAGCUUGCUCCUCUGACGUUAGCGGCGGACGGGUGAGUAACACGUGGAUAACCUACCUAUAAGACUGGGAUAACUUCGGGAAACCGGAGCUAAUACCGGAUAAUAUAUUGAACCGCAUGGUUCAAUAGUGAAAGACGGUUUUGCUGUCACUUAUAGAUGGAUCCGCGCCGCAUUUGCUAGUUGGUAAGGUAACGGCUUACCAAGGCAACGAUGCGUAGCCGACCUGAGAGAGUGAUCGGCCACACUGGAACUGAGACACGGACCAGACUCCUACGGGAGGCAGCAGUAGGGAAUGGUCCGCAAUAGGCGAAAGCUUGACGGAGCAACGCCGCGUGAGUGAUGAAGGUCUUCGGAUCGUAAAACUCUGUUAUUAGGGAAAAACAAAUGUGUAAGUAAAUAUGCACGUCUUGACGGUACCUAAUCAGAAAGCCACGGCUAACUACGUG